rnacentral:rRNA from 1 species
UUUGGGAGGUGAAGUCGUAACCAAGGUUUCCGGUAGGUGAACCUGCGGGAAUGAUCAUUA